UAGGGAAUCUUCCGCAAUGGGCGAAAGCCUGACGGAGCAACGCCGCGUGAGUGAUGAAGGUCUUCGGAUCGUAAAACUCUGUUAUUAGGGAAGAACAAAUGUGUAAGUAACUAUGCACGUCUUGACGGUACCUAAUCAGAAAGCCACGGCUAACUACGUGCCAGCAGCCGCGGUAAUCCGUAGGUGGCAAGCGUUAUCCGGAAUUAUUGGGCGUAAAGCGCGCGUAGGCGGUUUUUUAAGUCUGAUGUGAAAGCCCACGGCUCAACCGUGGAGGGUCAUUGGAAACUGGAAAACUUGAGUGCAGAAGAGGAAAGUGGAAUUCCAUGUGUAGCAGUGAAAUGCGCAGAGAUAUGGAGGAACACCAGUGGCGAAGGCGACUUUCUGGUCUGUAACUGACGCUGAUGUGCGAAAGCGUGGGGAUCAAACAGG
rnacentral:rRNA from 1 species